CAGCCGCCGCGGUAAUACGGAGGGUGCAAGCGUUAAUCGGAAUUACUGGGCGUAAAGCGCACGCAGGCGGUCUGACAAGUCAGAUGUGAAAUCCCCGGGCUUAACCUGGGAACUGCAUUUGAAACUGUCAGGCUGGAGUCUUGUAGAGGGGGGUAGAAUUCCAGGUGUAGCGGUGAAAUGCGUAGAGAUCUGGAGGAAUACCGGUGGCGAAGGCGGCCCCCUGGACAAAGACUGACGCUCAGGUGCGAAAGCGUGGGGAGCAAACAGGAUUAGAGACCCGUGUAGUCCCUGUCUCUUAUAC
rnacentral:rRNA from 1 species